GACGAACGCUGGCGGCGUGCUUAACACAUGCAAGUCGAACGAAGUGGCGAACGGGUGAGUAACGCGUAAACAACCUGCCCUUCAGAGGGGGACAACAGUUGGAAACGACUGCUAAUACCGCAUACUGAAGGUGGGGAUUGCGUCUGUUUAGCUAGUUGGAGGGGUAACGGCCAACCAAGGCGAUGAUCAGUAGCCGGUCUGGGAGGGUGGACGGGCAACAUUGGACUGGGACACGGGCCCGGCUCCCACGGGGGGCAACAGUGGGGAAUCUUCCGCAAUGGGCGGAAGUCUGGCGGAGCAAAGCCGCGGGAGGUGUAACGGCCUGCGGGUUGUAAAGCUCUGUUAAUCGGGACGCGGUACCGGAAUAGAAAGCCACGGCUAACUACGUGCCAGCCGCCGCGGUAAUAC
rnacentral:rRNA from 1 species